AGUCUCUUGUCGAUUUUGAAUUGGGAUUACAAAUGCAUGUUUUGAAGCUGGAAUUGAAUCAAAAUUCUAUGUUUGAUAAAAUCUUAAUAUGCCAUGACAUGAUGUCAAAUCCAAUUUUUUUUUCUAGAAUUACUAAUUGUCAACAAGUUUAUCCUUUUGUGACAGGAAAAGCCCCUAAAAAAUAUGUACUAAUAUCUGACACCCAUGAUCAAAUAGCAAAUGAGAGUUUGGCAGAGGUUCUGCCUCAAGUUUAACGCUGAGGUUUCUAGAACUAUUUAUCAGUUGAUUCUGUGCCUUUGACUCUUUUAAGUUACUCAAGACAAUCAAUACUCUAAUGCCCAAUUAGCGGGAACGCCAAAAGAAUCAAUGAAUACUCCUCCACAAGUGCAAUUCAUCAUUAGGGAUUAUAAAUUUUACCCUUUAAGGAAUAGUAGUGAUUUUGUAUUUCUUAGUACUGAAAACUUUUCAAUACAAUUUUAUAGUAUUGGAAACACCAUUUUUUUUUUACCCUGAAAACACCUAAUGUGUUUGGAUUGCACCUUAUUUACAUACACUGACUUACUUGCAUUAUCAACGCAUUUUACCAUUUUCAACACUUAAACAAUUGCAGAAAUAAGAUAGUGCUAUUUUAGAUUGGUAGCCCUACAAUGUGGUUUCGAGGCAACUCAGACAGUAGGCUACUCAUUUUUUUAGGUCUGAUAUCAUUGUAGAAUGCCCUUCUCUAUAUUUAAAAAGAAACUUGCUGCUUCAAUCUUGUAUGUGGUUUAUUAUGAAUUGGGAGGAAGAAGACUUGACUAAAUAGUGGUAUUAUCUAACGGAGGAGGAUAAGUAAAGCCAGCAAGCCAAGUUGAGUGGUUGCAGAAGACUGCACGAUUUGGACUUUUGUAAAUCAGAAUUGAUUAAAUUAAUUUUCUAAAAGCAUUUGUUUUUUUUUGUUGAAGAAAUUAGUACUAGGAGGAAAGGAGAUACAAGCAAACUACAGAAGAGCAUGUCCUUGCGGGAUUCCAUGUUUGAUUGAUGGUUUUUGGCAUCUAAAAUUCAUUAAUUGGAAGAAAUAAUGCACAAGAAAGGGAAUAAACUUGUGCAGGUAAACCCUGCAAAAACAUAGUUGAAAAAAUGGAAGAGAAGAUUGUCGCAAUCUACGGUUUACAUGAGCAAAUCAAUAUGGAAUCGGACAGGAUUUUGUUCCUCAAAUUACAGCCUUUUUUUUUUUUUUUGGGCAGCAAAAUUUGUAAUAAACCUCUUGGGUUCUAGCAGCCAUUAGAGCAAAUAGCAUGCAGGGGUCCAGUUUAUGGCUUUUUUUUUUUGGGAGAAACUAAGGAAAGUCCCACAGCUUAGGACAGAAAGAAACCUUUUCACUGCAAUAGUUUCCCAUUACCGAAAUGUUUCUAGGACUAAGGCAUGUACGCCAACGAGGCAUUAUUGUGCAGGGCCUAAAUAUUAACGCCGGCAGCCUCAAAUUCGGCGCUUUUAGUCAAUUACAUCAAGACGUCAUUGCAUACAAAUUCUUCCAGUUUCUUGAAUAGUUGGAGUUAAAAAAGUGGAAUGAAAAGUAAAAAGAUUCAAGA